rnacentral:rRNA from 1 species
UUGUAAGUGUUUAAGAGCGUUCGGUGGAUGCCUUGGCACCAGGAGCCGAUGAAGGACGUAGGAGGCUGCGAUAAGCCUCGGGGAGCUGUCAACCGAGCUGAGAUCCGAGGAUUUCCGAAUGGGGAAACCCAGCACGAGUGAUGUCGUGUUACCCGCGCCUGAAUAUAUAGGGUGUGUGGAGGGAACGUGGGGAAGUGAAACAUCUCAGUACCCACAGGAAGAGAAAACAAGAGUGAUUCCGUGAGUAGUGGCGAGCGAAAGCGGAUG